rnacentral:lncRNA from 1 species
GACAUAGAUGCAGCUGUUGUCGGCCUCCUGCUGGUAAUCACAGUUCCGGCACUACGAGAGGGCGAGUGUGGGGGAAAGGGGGUCACGGAAGGAUUCCAGACAAGAUUGGGAGGAGAGGGCAGGGUGAUCCCGGAGGAUAUGACGACAGGACUCUCUUUGGGGAUGGGCAGGACAUGAGAGUCAGGAUCACUUGAGGUGCAGCGGAGGGCGAACAGGGAGUCCGAUCACAGAGGCAGGGGGCAGGGCGGGGCCACGCUGGGAACAGGUGGACCUGCCGGGGAAGACCCCGGCGCUCACCGCGUAGAGCAGAAUGCGGUUCUCCUUGUCUUCCUUGGGGUACAGCAUGUUGUUACUGUGGGGAGGGGGAGGUGCCAGGGGUUAGUUCUGGAGCCAUUCCUCGCCCGCCUUCUAACAUCACCCGCUCCCUCCGCCUCACCAUUCCUGGCAGAAGCGAAUACCCACGAAGCCCGGCUCGUAAGUCCCGUCGGGCUCCAUGGCGACGCGCAGCCCGCGCAGCCCUCCCAGCCUUCCGCGCUUGCUCCGCCGCGCUACAGGUCGCGGGAGGGGCCAGGCCUAGGUGCUUCGCCAAAAGAGGGCGGAGCUGCGCACACGUGCUGGCUCCCCGCCGCCUCGGGCUCGGCUCUCUCCGCGCAGAGGUUUCAUGGCUUGCUUCAAUCUUUUGAUAUCUUAGAGUAAUUGCUUCCAAUUUUUGGGCAUCGCCGCCUCAGUUUACAGAAUAGUAUGGAUCUGGUGCCAGAGCCGGGAAAACGAUGCGCAUCGUAAAC